rnacentral:lncRNA from 1 species
UACUGUUUGUUUACUCGGCUCAUGGGCUUUAAGCUCAUGGGCCUGAACAUAACGUUCGCACGCAACGCGUUAUGGUGAAGCAAAAUAAUGUGCCAAUUUUUCCAUCAACGUAGUCUGUCAAUUGUGGCAUUUCUUUCUUCGCUUCGUUUUCUCAAUUUGUAUCGCUUUUCUUUGCUGUCCCGCUCGUACCUUAUCUUCACUGAUUCCUGACGGCAUAUGUAGA